UCUCUCUCUCUCUCACACACACACACACACACACACACACUCUCUCUCUCUCUCUCUCUCUCUCUCUCUCUCUCUCUCUCUCUCUCUCUCUCUCUCUCAAAAGCAAAAUCUCUACAACCCUCUCAUAUUGGAAUUAUCAGUGGAGCACCAGUCGGUUGAGCUCCGGUCAGAACUAAGGUAGCAGAGGCAUUUUUGUGGUGCUUUCCAGAUCAUCAUCACUCCAAGAACUGAAGAUUAAUGCAGAUGAUAUCUAUAUGUACUAUGGGCAACAUGGUACUAAAUCUGGUUGAGUUGGAGUUGCGCCUGACUCUGGCUAAAUCUCGAAUCAGGUUUUAGGAUGAACCAUCCUCGAUCGUAUGGACCAAUGACUAGUCAAGAUAGAAAGUCUUCACCAUUGUGGCCGCUUAUUAUUUGAUGCCAUCUCCCUACGCAUUGUUACUAUUGGAAUCUUGUUAUUAGACUUGUUGGAUGAUUGUAUUAAAGGAUUACUUCGAGUCUCUAGAUUGCGAGACUCGUCAUGUUUGUUCUAGAUCGACUCGUGUAUACACUAGCUUUGACUAAUCUUUAGAGGUAAAGAUGUGUGGAGAGUUUAAGGUCUUGGUAUAA